UAACGGCGAGUGAAGCGGCAAAAGCUCAAAUUUGAAAUCUAGCACUUUCAGUGUUCGAGUUGUAAUUUGAAGAAAGUCUCCUUGAAUAGUCCUUUAUCUAUGUUCCUUGGAACAGGACGUCAUAGAGGGUGAGAACCCCGUAUGAUUUUGGAUCCUAUUCUCUGUGGGAGUCUUUCGAAGAGUCGAGUUGUUUGGGAAUGCAGCUCUAAGUGGGUGGUAAAUUCCAUCUAAAGCUAAAUAUUGGCGAGAGACCGAUAGCGAACAAGUACAGUGAUGGAAAGAUGAAAAGAACUCUGAAGAGAGAGUGAAAAAGUACGUGAAAUUGCUGAAAGGGAAGGGCUUGAGGUCAGACUUGGUGUUUAAUGAUUAUCUUCUUUUCUUAAGUUGUGCACUCGUUUUUCACUGGGCCAAUAUCAGUUUUUGUAGUAGAGCACCUCUUGAAAUGUGAUUUCCUUCGGGGAGUGUUAUAGUCUUGAGACGAUCUACUACGGGGACUGAGGACUGCGCGUUAUGCUAGGAUAUUGGCGUAAUGACCUUAAGCCGCCCGUCUUGAACC
rnacentral:rRNA from 1 species